UAGUUAACCACAUUCUGUGGCCUUCAG
rnacentral:piRNA from 1 species